rnacentral:rRNA from 1 species
GAUGAACGCUGGCGGCGUGCCUAAUACAUGCAAGUCGAGCGAACAGAUACGGAGCUUGCUCCUUUGACGUUAGCGGCGGACGGGUGAGUAACACGUGGGUAACCUACCUAUAAGACUGGAAUAACUCCGGGAAACCGGGGCUAAUGCCGGAUAACAUUUAGAACCGCAUGGUUCUAAAGUGAAUGAUGGUUUUUCUAUCACUUCUAGAUGUACCCGCUCCGUAUUAGCUAGUUGGUAAGGUAACGGCUUACCAAGGCAACGAUACGUAGCCGACCUGAGAGGGGGGUCGGCCACACGGGAACUGAGACACGGUCCAGACUCCUACGGGAGGCAGCAGUAGGGAAUCUUCCGCAAUGGGCGAAAGCAUGACGGAGCAACGCCGCGUGAGAGAUGAAGGUCUUCGGAUCGUAAAACUCUGUUAUGAGGGAAGAACAAAUGUGUAAGUAACAGUGCACGUAGUGACGGUACCUAAACAGAAAGCCACGGCUAACUACGUG